CCUACGGGUGGCAGCAGUGAGGAAUAUUGGUCAAUGGACGAGAGUCUGAACCAGCCAAGUAGCGUGAAGGAUGACUGCCCUAUGGGUUGUAAACUUCUUUUAUAUGGGAAUAAAACGUUGCACGUGUGCCUUUUUGCAUGUACUUUAUGAAUAAGGAUCGGCUAACUUCGUGCCAGCAGCCGCGGUAAUACGGAGGAUCCGAGCGUUAUCCGGAUUUAUUGGGUUUAAAGGGAGCGUAGAUGGGUUGUUAAGUCAGUUGUGAAAGUUUGCGGCUCAACCGUAAAAUUGCACUUGAAACUGGCAGUCUGGAGUACAGUAGAGGUAGGCGGAAUUCGUGGUGUAGCGGUGAAAUGCUUAGAUAUCACGAAGAACCCCGAUUGCGAAGGCAGCUUACUAAACUGUAACUGACACUGAUGCUCGAAAGUGUGGGUAUCAAACAGGAUUAGAUACCCGAGUAGUC
rnacentral:rRNA from 1 species